GAUGAACGCUGACAGAAUGCUUCACACAUGCAAGUCAACUGUGGCGGACGGGUGAGUAACGCGUAAAGAACUUGCCUCACGGAUAGGGACAACAUUUGGAAACGAAUGCUAAUACCUGAUACUGUGAGAGAGCUUUGAGUCCCAUUAGCUAUUUGGAGAGGUAACGGCUCACCAAGGCGAUGAGGGGUAGCCGGCCUGUGAGGGUGAUAGGCCACAAGGUGACUGAGACACGGCCCUGACUCCUACGGGAGGCAGCAGUGGGGAAUAUUGGAAAAUGGACCAAAGUCUGAUCCAGCAAUUCUGUGUGCACGAUGAAGUUUUCGGAAUGUAAAGUGCUUUCAGUUGGGAAGCGGUACCAACAGAAGAAUUGACGGCUAAAUACGUGCCAGCCGCCGCGGUAAUAC
rnacentral:rRNA from 1 species